rnacentral:tRNA from 1 species
CCUGGCAUCCAACAACCCCAGAUACCCUGCUUUGGGAGCAGGGAGUCGGGGGUUCAAAUCCCUCUGCCCCGACCA